ensembl:snRNA U6 U6 spliceosomal RNA
ACACACACAAAUUGGAGACAGAAGUGCAGAGAAGAUCAGCAUGGCCCCUGUAUAAAGAUGAGAUGAAAAUAUUUUUCAUGUUCCAUAUUUUU